AGAGUUUGAUCCUGGCUCAGGACGAACGCUGGCGGCACGCUUAACACAUGCAAGUCGAACGAGAGAAGAGGAGCUUGCUUUUCUGAUCUAGUGGCGGACGGGUGAGUAACACGUGAGCAAUCUGCCUUUCAGAGGGGGAUACCGAUUGGAAACGAUCGUUAAUACCGCAUAACAUAAUUGAACCGCAUGAUUUGAUUAUCAAAGAUUUAUCGCUGAAAGAUGAGCUCGCGUCUGAUUAGCUAGUUGGUAAGGUAACGGCUUACCAAGGCGACGAUCAGUAGCCGGACUGAGAGGUUGAUCGGCCACAUUGGGACUGAGACACGGCCCAGACUCCUACGGGAGGCAGCAGUGGGGAAUAUUGCACAAUGGAGGAAACUCUGAUGCAGCGAUGCCGCGUGAGGGAAGAAGGUUUUAGGAUUGUAAACCUCUGUCUUCAGGGACGAAAAAAGACGGUACCUGGGGAGGAAGCUCCGGCUAACUACGUGCCAGCAGCCGCGGUAAUACGUAGGGAGCGAGCGUUGUCCGGAAUUACUGGGUGUAAAGGGAGCGUAGGCGGGAUCGCAAGUCAGAUGUGAAAACUAUGGGCUUAACCCAUAAACUGCAUUUGAAACUGUGGUUCUUGAGUGAAGUAGAGGUAAGCGGAACUCCUAGUGUAGCGGUGAAAUGCGUAGAUAUUAGGAGGAACAUCAGUGGCGAAGGCGGCUUACUGGGCUUUAACUGACGCUGAGGCUCGAAAGCGUGGGGAGCAAACAGGAUUAGAUACCCUGGUAGUCCACGCCGUAAACGAUGAUUACUAGGUGUGGGGGGACUGACCCCUUCCGUGCCGCAGCAAACGCAAUAAGUAAUCCACCUGGGGAGUACGACCGCAAGGUUGAAACUCAGAGGAAUUGACGGGGGCCCGCACAAGCAGUGGAGUAUGUGGAUUAAUUCGAAGCAACGCGAAGAACCUUACCAGGUCUUGACAUCGUAUGCAUAGCUCAGAGAUGAGUGAAAUCUCUUCGGAGACAUAUAGACAGGUGGUGCAUGGUUGUCGUCAGCUCGUGUCGUGAGAUGUUGGGUUAAGUCCCGCAACGAGCGCAACCCUUACUGUUAGUUGCUACGCAAGAGCACUCUAGCAGGACUGCCGUUGACAAAACGGAGGAAGGUGGGGAUGACGUCAAAUCAUCAUGCCCCUUAUGACCUGGGCCUCACACGUACUACAAUGGCUGUCAACAGAGGGAAGCAAAGCCGCGAGGUGGAGCGAACCCCUAAAAGCAGUCUUAGUUCGGAUUGUAGGCUGCAACCCGCCUACAUGAAGUCGGAAUUGCUAGUAAUCGCAGAUCAGCAUGCUGCGGUGAAUACGUUCCCGGGCCUUGUACACACCGCCCGUCACGCCAUGGGAGUCGGUAACACCCGAAGCCUGUAGUCUAACCGCAAGGAGGACGCAGUCGAAGGUGGGAUUGAUGACUGGGGUGAAGUCGUAACAAGGUA
rnacentral:rRNA from 1 species